GGUGACUGAAAACAUGUUCCCAGGGAACCUCCAGAAAACAUGGAGAGAGCACUGGGAUUUCCACAUUUUAAGAAGCAGUUUCAGACUCCAGUCAAACACAGUUCUGUAUUGAAUAAGAUUCUGCAUCAAUAAGGAGAAGUGUCACAGGAGGCCUCAUGAGACACCAGAUGACCAAUUACAGAAGAAUCAUCAGAAACAGAACAAGAAAGACUGAG